GAUUCGCUGGAUUCAGGACUUCGAGAGGAAUCCACGAAGCCCUUACUUGCCAGAUUUCGUUGAGAGCGUGGUGUUAGCUCGACUCCCGGAUUUGGAGGGUGUAGAUCGACCAGCAGGUGGUGCUGCAGCUGUGAGGGUGUUUUGCUGCCAGAAUUAGCGACUAAGAGCCACAGGUUUCGGCUACUGCGCCUUCCGCGGAUCAGGAUCGAGGCAAGGGCGUCGCGA